rfam:Myotis brandtii contig227735, whole genome shotgun sequence.
CGGGAGAGAGUCGAAAAUCCCUUAAAAGAGUAGGUA